GACGAACGCUGGCGGCGUGCUUAACACAUGCAAGUCGAACGGUGAAGGGACCAGCUUGCUGGUUCUGGAUGAGUGGCGAACGGGUGAGUAACACGUGAGUAACCUGCCCCCUUCUUCUGGAUAACUGCAUGAAAGUGUGGCUAAUACGGGAUAUUCUGGGUCUGUCGCAUGGCGGGCCCGGGAAAGAUAUUGCUUCGGUGGGGGAUGGGCUCGCGGCCUAUCAGCUUGUUGGUGGGGUGAUGGCCUACCAAGGCGGUGACGGGUAGCCGGCCUGAGAGGGGGGACGGUCACACUGGGACUGAGACACGGCCCAGACUCCUACGGGAGGCAGCAGUGGGGAAUAUUGCACAAUGGGCGCAAGCCUGAUGCAGCGACGCCGCGUGAGGGAUGGAGGCCUUCGGGUUGUAAACCUCUUUCGCCAGUGAAGCAGGCCUGCUCCUUGUGGGUGGGUUGACGGUAGCUGGAUAAGAAGCGCCGGCUAACUACGUG
rnacentral:rRNA from 1 species